GCCUCAAUAGCUAGCCCACCUUAAAUAUACAACAACCAACAUUAAUAACCCCACACAUACUAAUAACACUUUCAACAAACCAUUUUUCCACCCUAGUAUGGGAGACAGAAAAGGAGCUCAGGCGCUAUGGCAAAAGUACCGCAAGGGAAAGCUGAAAGAGAGGUGAAAAGCCCAGUAAAGGCAAAUGAAGCAGAGCUUAGCCCUUGUACCUUUUGCAUCAUGAAUUAGCCAGCACCCUCAAGCAAAGAGCCCUAUAUGUUUGAACCCCCGAAACUGAGCGAGCUACUCCAAGACAGCCUAUUGAGGGCACACCCGUCUCUGUGGCAAAAGAGUGGGAAGAUCUUUGAGUAGAGGUGACAGACCUACCGAGCCCAGUUAUAGCUGGUUGCCUAAAAAUUGAAUAGGAGUUCACCCUUUUGACUUCUUUAACCAGAGCACAGGCAAAGCCUCCUACCCGACAAAAGAAAGUCAAAAGAGAUAUUCAAGGGAGGGAUAGCUCUCUUGAAAAAAGACACAACUUUAAUAGAAGGCUAAAGAUCAAAGUACGCAAGGAACAAUACCCAGGUGGGCCUAAAAGCAGCCACCCCUUCAAAAAGCGUUAAAGCUUAAGUAUGCAACACCUAUGAUACCGACAAAAAUAUCUCAAGCCCCUUCAUUUAUUAGGCCCUCCCAUGCCUACAUGGGAGAGAUACUGCUAGUAUGAGUAAUAAGAGGGCCCCGACCCUCUCCCCGCAGACGUGUAUAUCAGAACGAACCCCUACUGAAAGCUAACGCCCCAUGAUAUGAAGGCAUUGUGAAAGACUGACUAGACCUAGAAGGUCCCCCCAAAUAUAAGCGUUAACCCCACACAGGCCUGCUUUUAGGAAAGACAAAAAAGGGAAGAAGGAACUCGGCAAACAUCUGGCCUCGCCUGUUUACCAAAAACACCGCCUCUUGCCCCCACAGUAUAAGAGGUCCCGCCUGCCCUGUGACAAAAGUUUAACGCCCGCGGUAUUUUGACCGUGCGAAGGUAGCGUAAUCACUUGUCUUUUAAAUGAAGACCUGUAUGAAUGGCUUAACGAGGGUUAAGCUGUCUCCUUUCCUUAGCCAAUGAAAUUGAUCUGCCCGUGCAGAAGCGGGCAUAUUCUCAUAAGACGAGAAGACCCUAUGGAGCUUUAGACACUGGGGCAAGCUGUGUUAAACCGCCCAACUUACUGGGAUUAAACCAAACGGCCACUCCCCCCAUGUCUUUGGUUGGGGCGACUGCGGGGAAACACUAAACCCCCGCGCGGAAUGGGAAUUACCCCUAAAGAAAGGCCCCCAGGCCUAUCUAUCAGAAUAUCUGCCCAAACAGAUCCGGCAAAGCCGAUCAACGGACCCAGUUACCCUAGGGAUAACAGCGCAAUCCCCUUUUAGAGCCCAAAUCGACAAGGGGGUUUACGACCUCGAUGUUGGAUCAGGACCUCCUAAUGGUGCAGCCGCUAUUAAGGGUUCGUUUGUUCAACGAUUAAAGUCCU
rnacentral:rRNA from 1 species